GGCUUCGCUUCACUGAAGCAUAGCUUAGCCCAGGCACAAGCCCCCGACCCAUCACCCACCUCUCCUUCUACACUGAACAAACCCAAACACCAACCCCUUUCUUCCUCAUCCUGCUUUCCAGUACUGCCUCCGCUCAUCGGAUCCAAGAACCGAUUAAUUCGUUCCAAUCUUGUUUGUGUUUCUUCCAUUUCAGAAAUCAGAAGUGCUCGAGAGUGAGAAGGCCCUGAAGAGAUUGACAGAAGAGAGUGAGCACACGGCGUGGCGGCCGGCAUGGAACGUAUGCCGUCCCCGCCGCGUGCUCGCUCCUCUUUCUGUCAGCCUCUCUGGGCCGAGAGCUUGUUCUGAUCUGGGUUACCACCGGUGAGAUGACAGACGAUACCACCAGUAGUGGAGGGGGGAGAGGUUUUUGCUGUGGCGCCUGAGCGCGGUGGAAACCGUGCCACGCAGAGAUAGAAACGCAUGCUGCGAGAGGACGCUGCCUUUGCAGACUUGCAGGCAGCAAGGACAUGUUACUUCAUUAUCUUCUAGAUAUACGCAAUAGAUUUGCAUAUUUUUUGCUCUCGAUUUGAUCCCUUCAGUCAGGCUGUCGGGGGGCUACUACCGAGGAGGAGGAAGAGAUGAGGCUGCUGAUACUGAUGGAACGGCAUGGAGAGGAGAUAAGAGUACUACUACUAGGAGUAAGUUUGUUGUGGCUUUGCAGUACACUGAAAAAUGAUUGGUUUUGCCAUUUAUUUUGCUUGUCCCCGGGAUUUUUCGUUCCUUCCUGGAUCUGCUAGCUCCCAACUCACUGCCUUGGGAGCUGAAUCAGGAGACGCUGACAGUACACUGCACUACUGUAAGGAUUUAUCAGAACAAUAGCUGCAUCAUCUUUUCUCUCUCUCUCUUGGUGCAGCUCAUCUUCCUCAUGGCUACUGUACCCAUUAUUCCUACAUUUUUUCUGCUCUUUCUUGCUGAGGUUCUUGGUUGGAGUUCUUGGUCCACCUGCGGUCAUGGCCAUAGUGGUGGUUGUGCUGCUGCUCAGCUCCUGUUGGCACAAAAAUGGAUCAUGGAGGUCACCAUGCGAUGAACCACAUUUGGCAACGACGGUGGCCUCACCUUGCUUUUGCCAGAUCUGGCUUGCAUCUUAGACACACAGAGGGAGUGGAGAAAAUGCUGCUGCUCGUUACAGUGUUACUGAUGAGGAGGGAACAUGGGCGUCAUUUAAUGGGCAACACCAUUUGCAGUUUUGCUUAAUUAUGACUAAGGAGUACUCUUCCUAUGUUGUACUACCUGCAGAUUACAAUUGACAAGGUUGUACCUUCUGCAGAUUGCAAGUACGUUCUUGGAUGACAAACGAAAGCAGCUUUUCUGAAGUUGCAAGUUAUCUCUUACAGUAUCCAUGAUGUUGAGACUUUGCUGUGAAUUAAUGAUUAUUUAACUUCACCAAAUCCAGAAGAGAAGCUUGCCGCAGCUUGUUAAUUGAACAGUGUUAUCUAUGUUGCGAAAUGCGCACCCAAGUGUUAAUUUUUUUUCUCUGAAUAAAAUAGGAACAAAUUAGGCAGAGGUUUUUUCACUUUGUUUUGAGUGGUUAAACAUUUCUGUUUUAGAACACGAGUGUUUAAACAGUUUGAGAAAACAAGUGGAAAUUUAUCUUGAUUUCUAUAUGAUAGUGAUUGAUAAGUGCGUU